ACGCCAGUCUGCGUGGAGCCGACCUUGAAAUACCACCCUUUAAUGUUUGAUGUUCUAACGUGGAUCCGUAAUCCGGGUUGCGGACAGUGUCUGGUGGGUAGUUUGACUGGGGCGGUCUCCUCCUAAAGAGUAACGGAGGAGCACGAAGGUUGGCUAAUCCUGGUCGGACAUCAGGAGGUUAGUGCAAUGGCAUAAGCCAGCUUGACUGCGAGCGUGACGGCGCGAGCAGGUGCGAAAGCAGGUCAUAGUGAUCCGGUGGUUCUGAAUGGAAGGGCCAUCGCUCAACGGAUAAAAGGUACUCCGGGGAUAACAGGCUGAUACCGCCCAAGAGUUCAUAUCGACGGCGGUGUUUGGCACCUCGAUGUCGGCUCAUCACAUCCUGGGGCUGAAGUAGGUCCCAAGGGUAUGGCUGUUCGCCAUUUAAAGUGGUACGCGAGCUGGGUUUAGAACGUCGUGAGACAGUUCGGUCCCUAUCUGCCGUGGGCGCUGGAGAACUGAGGGGGGCUGCUCCUAGUACGAGAGGACCGGAGUGGACGCAUCACUGGUGUUCGGGUUGUCAUGCCAAUGGCACUGCCCGGUAGCUAAAUGCGGAAGAGAUAAGUGCUGAAAGCAUCUAAGCACGAAACUUGCCCCGAGAUGAGUUCUCCCUGAGACUUAGAGUCUCCUGAAGGAACGUUGAAGACGACGACGUUGAUAGGCCGGGUGUGUAAGCGCAGCGAUGCGUUGAGCUAACCGGUACUAAUGAACCGUGAGGCUUAACCUUACAACGCCGAAG
rnacentral:rRNA from 1 species